rnacentral:lncRNA from 1 species
AAAUGUGUUGAAAAAUCUAAUUUCUGUUAAACAGAAAGUGAAUUAACCUUUUCAAAAUCUGCCGCAGAGCCCAAAUCUGACGAAUCCAAAACGCCCAGCUCAAGCUAUGGAGCAAAGCGGGAAAGAGAAUCAAGCGACAGCAUUCAGAGCGCGGAGAAACGUCAUCUGAGAUCAUCAGAAGCGGAAAACAUCCUGGAUUACGACACAAGAGGUGCAGAGCUAUGGAUCGAGAGUGAAAAGCUUACUGAAACGAAUUAUUUGGUAUAUCUCGCCAACAAAACCCAAUGUUUGCUGAAUGAGCUGGAGAAACGGCUCAGUAAACCUCUCAGUUUUCCUCUGGUAAUGAAUCCAGUCAGACAGAAAUCCAAUCCUGGCAGCCAAAAAUUGAAUCCUGACACCCAAAAAUCCAAGCCUGACUCCCAAAAAUCCUAUCCUGAUGCCCAAAAAUCCAAUCCUGAUGCCCUAAAAAUGAAUCUUGAUGCCCAAAAGUCCAACCCUGAUGCCCAAGAAUCCAAUCCUGACGACCAAAACUCCGAUCCUGAUGGCCAGAACUCCAAUUCUGCUGCCCAAAACUCCAAUCCUGACGGCCAAAACUCCAAUUCUGCCGCCCAAAAAUCCAAUCCUGACUGCAAGAAGUUGAAUCCUGACGCCCAGAUUGAAGAUAAAAUCACUAUAGCGCUCUGUAUCCAGCAGCUCACUGAAUCUAUGCUCCGGGACGAGCAGCUGCGCAGAAAAUAUAUAGCCGAGAUGAUAAACGAAUAUCGCCGCCUGAGGGGAGCCAUGGCGGACUGGACAAAGGCAUAUCGUCUAAAUCGACAGGAGCUGAAAGUGCUGCUGGAUACUGUAACGUCUAUAUCCGACAGAUUAAGCGUCGUGGAAAAGUAUGUGUUGGAAAUCGUUCGUAAUAUUAAAUGAUCUGCGAAUAAAAAUGUGUUUCUGGCGUGGAGUUUUGGUCUAAAAUAUCUACAAAUUCUUAAAUCAAAGAAGCAUUUUUGGACAAGUCAAAAAUAUAGUUUUGAUUUAAGACAUUUUAUGUGAAAAUGAAGAGUUUUUUCCAUGAAACAAGCAGAAUAAUCCGCCAAUGAGGUCUGUGAAAUAAUUUAAUUUCAUAAGGAAAAUCUAGAUUAUUUUGCUUACUCCAUUAGCAGAUUAUUUUACUUGCUUUAAGGAAAAACUCACUUAAUUUUGAGCCAUUAAUUCUAAAAACAAUACAAUUUUCUUUGCUUGUCUAGAGAAAGCUUCUUCAUUUUAGGGUUUUUAGAUAUUUGGACUGUAAACAAGACAGAAAAUCCAAGAAAAGCAUUGUUGCUGACUAUUGUUGCUGAUUAUUUUCUGUUUUAUAACUGUAGUGACGAGUGAUUUAAAAAAAAAAAAAGAUGCCCAUGUCAGUGUUUUGUGAUAUGUUUUUUUAAAAUAAAUCACUUCAGAUUGAC